UCCAUUUAACGCAAAACAAAGGGCCUGGAUCCCUUGUAUGGCCUGCAUUCCAAGGGAAUGGCUGGGGAUUCAGAUGUCCUUCAUAGACAAGGAGUGAAACUCUGGGUUGUCUACUCCUGGAUCCCUUAGCUCAGGACUCCAAACACACAUUCUUCUUAGACCAUAGGGUCAUUCUCAGGGUAUGCUUCAGUUAUAGUUGUCAGGUGCCUCUGCUGUGUACCAACUAUAAUUUAUGUCUGUUUACUCUUGGAGAUACAUUUUCAGUUGGUGGGGUCAGAAGUGAGGAGACAUUAUCUCUCAGAGGACCCACGGGUCAAAUAGCAAACUCAACCAACCAAGAUAUGAAAAUGGCGCAAUAAAGAGAAGAAAAAGUUAAAGUACUUGACAAAAUGAGAUAUGCUGCCACAAUUUUGAACUUUACUUCUUAUGAGAAGGCCCAGUGCAGUCUUGCUCUGUUGCCUAGAAUGGAGUGCCAUGGCACAA
rnacentral:lncRNA from 1 species